CCUGGUUUAAAAAGGAGCUCACUUCAGUCAGACAGGGGGGAGCCAGAGGAGAGGAAGUGUCUGUGAGGAGCUGGGAGCAAGAGGCACAAGGAGCUGAGAGUG